rnacentral:rRNA from 1 species
UGAGGAAUAUUGGUCAAUGGGCGAGAGCCUGAACCAGCCAAGUAGCGUGCAGGAUGACGGCCCUAUGGGUUGUAAACUGCUUUUAUGCGGGGAUAAAGUGCGGUACGUGUAGCGUUUUGUAUGUACCGCAUGAAUAAGGACCGGCUAAUUCCGUG